rnacentral:snoRNA from 1 species
AGGUCUGUGGUCUGUGAUGCAUUUCUGUGUCUGAUUUAAGCAUGAGGUGUUACACAGCCUUCGUCACUACCACUGAGACCACAUUAUU